rnacentral:rRNA from 3 species
CAACAGGGAUUGCCCCAGUAACGGCGAGUGAAGCGGCAACAGCUCAAAUUUGAAAUCUGGCUCUCGGGCCCGAGUUGUAAUUUGUAGAGGAUGCUUUUGGUGAGGUGCCUUCCGAGUUCCCUGGAACGGGACGCCAUAGAGGGUGAGAGCCCCGUCUGGUUGGACGCCGAACCUCUGUAAAGCUCCUUCGACGAGUCGAGUAGUUUGGGAAUGCUGCUCUAAAUGGGAGGUAUAUGUCUUCUAAAGCUAAAUACCGGCCAGAGACCGAUAGCGCACAAGUAGAGUGAUCGAAAGAUGAAAAGAACUUUGAAAAGAGAGUUAAACAGUACGUGAAAUUGUUGAAAGGGAAGCGCUUGUGACCAGACUUGGGCUUGGUUGAUCAUCCGGGGUUCUCCCCGGUGCACUCUUCCGGCCUAGGCCAGCAUCAGUUCGCCCUGGGGGAUAAAGGCUUCGGGAACGUGGCUCUCUCCGGGGAGUGUUA